rnacentral:rRNA from 1 species
GACGAACGCUGGCGGCGUGCUUAACACAUGCAAGUCGAACGAUGAUGUCCCAGCUUGCUGGGGCGGAUUAGUGGCGAACGGGUGAGUAACACGUGAGUAACCUGCCUUUCACUCUGGGAUAAGCCUUGGAAACGAGGUCUAAUACUGGAUAUGACAGUCAACUGCAUGGUUGGUUGUGGAAAGCUUUUGCGGUGGGAGAUGGACUCGCGGCCUAUCAGCUUGUUGGUGAGGUAAUGGCUUACCAAGGCGAUGACGGGUAGCCGGCCUGAGAGGGCGAUCGGCCACACUGGGACUGAGACACGGCCCAGACUCCUACGGGAGGCAGCAGUGGGGAAUAUUGCACAAUGGGCGCAAGCCUGAUGCAGCGACGCCGCGUGAGGGAUGACGGCCUUCGGGUUGUAAACCUCUUUCGCUAGGGACGAAGCUUUCGGGUGACGGUACCUAGAUAAGAAGCACCGGCUAACUACGUGCCAGCAGCCGCGGUAAUACGUAGGGUGCGAGCGUUGUCCGGAAUUAUUGGGCGUAAAGAGCUUGUAGGCGGUUUGUCGCGUCUGCUGUGAAAGCCCGGGGCUUAACUCCGGGUCUGCAGUGGGUACGGGCAGGCUAGAGUAUGGUAGGGGAGACUGGAAUUCCUGGUGUAGCGGUGAAAUGCGCAGAUAUCAGGAGGAACACCGAUGGCGAAGGCAGGUCUCUGGGCCAUUACUGACGCUGAGAAGCGAAAGCAUGGGGAGCGAACAGGAUUAGAUACCCUGGUAGUCCAUGCCGUAAACGUUGGGCGCUAGGUGUGGGACUCAUUCCACGAGUUCUGUGCCGUAGCUAACGCAUUAAGCGCCCCGCCUGGGGAGUACGGCCGCAAGGCUAAAACUCAAAGGAAUUGACGGGGGCCCGCACAAGCGGCGGAGCAUGCGGAUUAAUUCGAUGCAACGCGAGGAACCUUACCAAGGCUUGACAUAUACCAGAUCGCAGCAGAGAUGUUGUUUCCCUUUGGGUUGGUAUACAGGUGGUGCAUGGUUGUCGUCAGCUCGUGUCGUGAGAUGUUGGGUUAAGUCCCGCAACGAGCGCAACCCUCGUUCCAUGUUGCCAGCACGUAAUGGUGGGGACUCAUGGGAGACUGCCGGGGUCAACUCGGAGGAAGGUGGGGAUGAGGUCAAAUCAUCAUGCCCCUUAUGUCUUGGGCUUCACGCAUGCUACAAUGGCCGGUACAGAGGGCUGCGAUACCGCAAGGUGGAGCGAAUCCCUUAAAGCCGGUCUCAGUUCGGAUUGGGGUCUGCAACUCGACCCCAUGAAGUCGGAGUCGCUAGUAAUCGCAGAUCAGCAACGCUGCGGUGAAUACGUUCCCGGGCCU